rnacentral:rRNA from 1 species
GGCUCAGGACGAACGGCUGGCGGCGUGCUUAACACAUGCAAGUCGAACGGAGUGCCCAUGACAGAGGCUUCGGCCAAUAGAUUGGGUUACUUAGUGGCAAACGGGUGAGUAACGCGUAGGCAACCUGCCCUUCAGAUGGGGACAACACCUCGAAAGGGGUGCCUAAUACCGAAUGACGUUUCCUAGUCGCAUGACCUGGAAACCAAAGGCCGGGCAACCGGUCACUGAAGGAUGGGCCUGCGUCUGAUUAGCUAGUUGGUGGGGUAACGGCCCACCAAGGCGACGAUCUCUAGCUGGUCUGAGAGGAUGAUCAGCCACAUUGGGACUGAGACACGGCCCAGACUCCUACGGGAGGCAGCAGUAGGGAAUAUUGCACAAUGGAGGAAACUCUGAUGCAGCCAUGCCGCGUGUGUGAAGAAGGCCUUCGGGUUGUAAAGCACUUUCGGAGGGGAGGAAAAGAUGACGUUACCCUCAGAAGAAGCACCGGCUAACUUCGUG